UGUGAUGCGAUGAAUGGGAAAGUAGGUAUUAAGGAUGCGUACAGAGAGUAGCUGUUUUAGCUGAGAGCAGCUUCGCUUACUUAAUACUGAAGUGCGCCCUGGAGCAGUGUUAAACCGGUUGAUGCCGUUAUAAAUCUUGAGGUGAAGGUGUAUUUACGCCUUAAGCAGAGUGGAACCGCGGUAUACCCGUCUCUGGG
rnacentral:ncRNA from 1 species